AGUGGAUAGUUUAGUAAAAUUUUAAUUUUGGGAAUUAAAGAGGAGCUAAUUAUAGCUUUCUACUGA
rnacentral:tRNA from 1 species